AUUGAACGCUGGCGGCAGGCCUAACACAUGCAAGUCGAGCGGAUGAAGGGAGCUUGCUCCUGGAUUCAGCGGCGGACGGGUGAGUAAUGCCUAGGAAUCUGCCUGGUAGUGGGGGAUAACGUCCGGAAACGGGCGCUAAUACCGCAUACGUCCUGAGGGAGAAAGUGGGGGAUCUUCGGACCUCACGCUAUCAGAUGAGCCUAGGUCGGAUUAGCUAGUUGGUGGGGUAAAGGCCUACCAAGGCGACGAUCCGUAACUGGUCUGAGAGGAUGAUCAGUCAUACUGGAACUGAGACACGGUCCAGACUCCUACGGGAGGCAGCAGUGGGGAAUAUUGGACAAAGGGCGAAAGCCUGAUCCAGCCAUGCCGCGUGUGUGAAGAAGGUCUUCGGAUUGUAAAGCACUUUAAGUUGGGAGGAAGGGCAGUAAGUUAAUACCUUGCUGUUUUGACGUUACCAACAGAAUAAGCACCGGCUAACUUCGUG
rnacentral:rRNA from 1 species